rnacentral:misc_RNA from 1 species
AAGUCGUAACAAGGUUUCCGUAGGUGAACCUGCGGAAGGAUCAUUACCAAUUCGAAUGUGGUUGUGCGCUGAGCAGCACUCUUGCUCUCACCGCACACACCAUCAACCAACCUUUGAUUGUGAACCUUGGAAAAAUAUCUCAAGUCUUCCCUCGCGCCUUUUGGCUGUGAGGGGAGCAAUUUUUAUCCAACCCCACAAAACCAUCUGCACGCACACAUUGCUGUGUGUGUUGUGGAUGAAAAAAGCAGGCGUUGAGCUCCGAACAUGAAAUAUGAAAAAUGUGAUGUACAACUUUUAACGGCGGAUCUCUUGGCUCGU